UCCCUCUCAGGAUGGCACCUGGAGAGUUUCCAGCACUUUAUCAGUCUCAGCUACGGGAGGGAGAGUCAAGCAGAGGCUUACUCAUUCCACUCAUAGCUUGGGCAGUAGCUAGCGAGUGGAAGGCAAACUGCUACAAGU
rnacentral:snoRNA from 2 species